GUUAAAAGCCAAGCGCACACACAGAGACGCUGUCUUUGAACUACAAAAGCACAACACAUCCCAGGCUCGGCUCACUGAGCGGGUGCUUUACUGAAAGUUACAGUCAUCUCUGUGUUGAGCUGACCUCCUGUAUCUCUUCUGAAACAACUACUUAGAAGCCUUGGCUGUUAUAGCACUAUCAGCAAGGAGAGAGGGUGUUGCAUAGAAGUGCCAUGUUGCGUGUUUCUAUUCAAAUAUUUCUGAGCGUGUUGGACAAUAGCUGUGAGAUCCAAUUAAAAUAUUUUCACAAGCCGAUCAGUCACUUAUCCAGAGCUUUGCUGGAAACAUUUUGUUGAUGAGGAGUAACCACGGCACAGCAGAAGCGGGCAGCCAGCCUCAGCCCACGCCUCCCUGCUGCUCCCACGCCUGAGGAAAAUGUUCCCUGUUGAGAUGCUCACUGCUGCCCUGGGCUUCCUCUUGCAGACACACCGACCUCUGGUAUGAUCCAAAGGUAAAGUUGUUAAAAAUUUUAGAAAAAGCAAGAUGGAAGGAUUUAACAGCUCCUAUGCAAGAAAAUAAGAGCACACUGGCCUUAAGGCUGCUCCUCUGUUCAGGGAAUUACCAACAGACAGAUUGCAACAAUCACCUUCCUUCUAUAGUAACCAACCACAUUUUCUGUGAAGAUGAUUUUGGAUUCCAGUAAGUUUAAAAAAAAAAAAAGUUACUGUUGGUUCCCCCCACCCUUCCUCCUCUUCCCAUUUUUCCAAGAACUCAGUAUUGACCUGUGUGCCUGUUUGUACCAUUUGCUGAAGUCAUCCAGUGUAUGGUUGGAGUCAUGCAAAGGAAGCCUUGUGGCAGUCCCUGUGUGUACCUGCUGUUGGCCCUGAGGCUUUGCUUCUUUGCAGGCUCAGGAAAGGCUCUGCUGUUCUUUUCCUGCUCUGGGGUCCAAAUCUCCACAGCUCUGUUUCUUUCCCUCUGUUGCCAUGGCCCUUGCAGGGGAUCCUUAAGCUCUUGCUCAGUUGCACCCUUUCC
rnacentral:lncRNA from 1 species